AUUGAACGCUGGCGGCAUGCCUUACACAUGCAAGUCGAACGGCAGCACGGGUGCUUGCACCUGGUGGCGAGUGGCGAAAGGGUGAGUAAUACAUCGGAACAUGUCCUGUAGUGGGGGAUAGCCCGGCGAAAGCCGGAUUAAUACCGCAUACGAUCUACGGAUGAAAGCGGGGGACCUUCGGGCCUCGCGCUAUAGGGUUGGCCGAUGGCUGAUUAGCUAGUUGGUGGGGUAAAGGCCUACCAAGGCGACGAUCAGUAGCUGGUCUGAGAGGACGACCAGCCACACUGGGACUGAGACACGGCCCAGACUCCUACGGGAGGCAGCAGUGGGGAAUUUUGGACAAUGGGCGAAAGCCUGAUCCAGCAAUGCCGCGUGUGUGAAGAAGGCCUUCGGGUUGUAAAGCACUUUUGUCCGGAAAGAAAUCCUUGGCUCUAAUACAGUCGGGGGAUGACGGUACCGGAAGAAUAAGCACCGGCUAACUACGUG
rnacentral:rRNA from 1 species